AUUGAACGCUGGCGGCACGCCUAACACAUGCAAGUCGAGCGGCAGCGGGUUUAGUAGCAAUACAAGAUGCCGGCGAGCGGCGAACGGGUGAGUAAUACGUAAGAACUUGCCGUAUCGAUGGGGACAACAAAGGGAAACGUUGGCUAAUACCGAAGACACUCGAGAGAGGAAAGGUGGCUAGCAAUCUGUGUCGCGAUAUGAGAGGUAUUCGUCCGAUUAGCUAGUUGGUGGGGUAAGAGCUCACCAAGGCGACGAUCAGUAGCUGGUCUGAGAGGACGAUCAGCCACACUGGGACUGAGACACGGCCCAGACUCCUACGGGAGGCAGCAGUGGGGAAUUUUGGACAAUGGGCGAAAGCCUGAUCCAGCAAUGCCGCGUGUGUGAAGAAGGCCUUCGGGUUGUAAAGCACUUUUGUCCGGAAAGAAAUGGCUCUGGUUAAUACCUGGGGUCGAUGACGGUACCGGAAGAAUAAGGACCGGCUAACUACGUGCCAGCCGCCGCCGUAA
rnacentral:rRNA from 1 species